rnacentral:rRNA from 1 species
CCUUGAAAUACCACCCUUAUAUCAUUUGAAUUCUAACUGUAUACCUUGAAUCAGGUAUCAGGACAGUGUCUGGUGGGUAGUUUGACUGGGGCGGUCUCCUCCUAAAAAGUAACGGAGGAGCUCAAAGGUUCCCUCAGCACGGUCGGUAAUCGUGCGCAGAGUGCAAACGCAUAAGGGAGCUUAACUGCAAGACAGACAUGUCGAGCAGAUGCGAAAGCAGGAGUUAGUGAUCCGGCGAUUCCGAGUGGAAGGGUCGUCGCUAAUCGGAUAAAAGGUACUCCGGGGAUAACAGGCUUAUAACCGCCAAGAGCUCAUAUCGACGCGGUUGUUUGGCACCUCGAUGUCGGCUCGUCUCAUCCUGGGGCUGGAGAAGGUCCCAAGGGUUGGGCUGUUCGCCCAUUAAAGAGGCACGCGAGCUGGGUUUAGAACGUCGUGAGACAGUUCGGUCCCUAUCCUCUACGGGCGUAGGAAAUUUGAGAGAAGCUGCAUCUAGUACGAGAGGACCGAUGUGGGCAAACCUCUAGUGUACCUGUUGUUACAUCAGUAGCAUCGCAGGGUAGCUACGUUUGAUCGGGAUAAGCGCUGAAAGCAUCUAAGUGCGAAGCCCAUCUCAAGAUAAGAUUUCCCUACUCUUUAGAGUCUGAAAACCUCCAGUAGACUACUGGAUUGAUAGGUCACAGAUGUAAGUACAGCAAUGUAUUUAGUCGAGUGAUACUAAAUUGGUUGUGAGACUUGAACAAAU